UACGACUAUCUCACGUUGAAACACCGUUUCUCGUAUGAUCACCGAAGUUAAGCAACGUCAAGCCUGGUCAGUAGCUCGAUGGACGAACUCUUGGGAAUACCGGGGGCUGUAAG